rnacentral:tRNA from 1 species
GGCCCUGUGGUCUAAUGGAUAAGGCGUCUGAAUUCUAAUCAGAAAAUUGCAGGUUCGACCCCUGCCUGGGGCA